rnacentral:rRNA from 1 species
UCCAUAGGUUAAUGAGGCGAACCGGGGGAACUGAAACAUCUAAGUACCCCGAGGAAAAGAAAUCAACCGAGAUUCCCCCAGUAGCGGCGAGCGAACGGGGAGGAGCCCAGAGCCUGAAUCAGCAUGUGUGUUAGUGGAAGCGUCUGGAAAGGCGCGCGAUACAGGGUGACAGCCCCGUACACAAAAGCGCAUGUGCUGUGAGCUCGAUGAGUAGGGCGGGACACGUGGUAUCCUGUCUGAAUAUGGGGGGACCAUCCUCCAAGGCUAAAUACUCCUGACUGACCGAUAGUGAACCAGUACCGUGAGGGAAAGGCGAAAAGAACCCCGGCGAGGGGAGUGAAAAAGAACCUGAAACCGUGUACGUACAAGCAGUGGGAGCACCCUUCGGGGUGUGACUGCGUACCUUUUGUAUAAUGGGUCAGCGACUUAUAUUCUGUAGCAAGGUUAACCGAAUAGGGGAGCCGGAGGGAAACCGAGUCUUAAUUGGGCGUUAAGUUGCAGGGUAUAGACCCGAAACCCGGUGAUCUAGCCAUGGGCAGGUUGAAGGUUGGGUAACACUAACUGGAGGACCGAACCGACUAAUGUUGAAAAAUUAGCGGAUGACCUGUGGCUGGGGGUGAAAGGCCAAUCAAACCGGGAGAUAGCUGGUUCUCCCCGAAAGCUAUUUAGGUAGCGCCUCGUGAAUUCAUCUCCGGGGGUAGAGCACUGUUUCGGCUAGGGGGCCAUCCCGGCUUACCAACCCGAUGCAAACUGCGAAUACCGGAGAAUGUUAUCACGGGAGACACACGGCGGGUGCUAACGUCCGUCGUGAAGAGGGAAACAACCCAGACCGCCAGCUAAGGUCCCAAAGUCAUGGUUAAGUGGGAAACGAUGUGGGAAGGCCCAGACAGCCAGGAUGUUGGCUUAGAAGCAGCCAUCAUUUAAAGAAAGCGUAAUAGCUCACUGGUCGAGUCGGCCUGCGCGGAAGAUGUAACGGGGCUAAACCAUGCACCGAAGCUGCGGCAGCGAACGUAUCACCCAAGACAACUUUACGGAGUUGACGAUUGACGGAGCGAAGCGACGUCAAAGCGUUCAUUAAAGUCGAGUUGGCUUAGGGAUACGUUCGUUGGGUAGGGGAGCGUUCUGUAAGCCUGUGAAGGUGUGUCGUGAGGCAUGCUGGAGGUAUCAGAAGUGCGAAUGCUGACAUAAGUAACGAUAAAGCGGGUGAAAAGCCCGCUCGCCGGAAGACCAAGGGUUCCUGUCCAACGUUAAUCGGGGCAGGGUGAGUCGACCCCUAAGGCGAGGCCGAAAGGCGUAGUCGAUGGGAAACGGGUUAAUAUUCCCGUACUUGGUGUUACUGCGAAGGGGGGACGGAGAAGGCUAUGUUGGCCGGGCGACGGUUGUCCCGGUUUAAGCGUGUAGGUGUGUGUUCCAGGUAAAUCCGGUUCACUUUAACACUGAGGCGUGACGACGAGGCACUACGGUGCUGAAGCAACAAAUGCCCUGCUUCCA